AACGCUAGCUACAGGCUUAACACAUGCAAGUCGAGGGGCAGCAUUUCAGUUUGCUUGCAAACUGGAGAUGGCGACCGGCGCACGGGUGAGUAACACGUAUCCAACCUGCCGAUAACUCGGGGAUAGCCUUUCGAAAGAAAGAUUAAUACCCGAUGGCAUAAUUAGACCGCAUGGUCUUAUUAUUAAAGAAUUUCGGUUAUCGAUGGGGAUGCGUUCCAUUAGGCAGUUGGUGAGGUAACGGCUCACCAAACCUUCGAUGGAUAGGGGUUCUGAGAGGAAGGUCCCCCACAUUGGAACUGAGACACGGUCCAAACUCCUACGGGAGGCAGCAGUGAGGAAUAUUGGUCAAUGGGCGCAGGCCUGAACCAGCCAAGUAGCGUGAAGGAUGACUGCCCUAUGGGUUGUAAACUUCUUUUAUAUGGGAAUAAAGUUUUCCACGUGUGGAAUUUUGUAUGUACCAUAUGAAUAAGGAUCGGCUAACUCCGUGCCAGCAGCCGCGGUAAUACGGAGGAUCCGAGCGUUAUCCGGAUUUAUUGGGUUUAAAGGGAGCGUAGGUGGACAGUUAAGUCAGUUGUGAAAGUUUGCGGCUCAACCGUAAAAUUGCAGUUGAUACUGGCUGUCUUGAGUACAGUAGAGGUGGGCGGAAUUCGUGGUGUAGCGGUGAAAUGCUUAGAUAUCACGAAGAACUCCGAUUGCGAAGGCAGCUCACUGGACUGCAACUGACACUGAUGCUCGAAAGUGUGGGUAUCAAACAGGAUUAGAUACCCUGGUAGUCCACACAGUAAACGAUGAAUACUCGCUGUUUGCGAUAUACAGUAAGCGGCCAAGCGAAAGCAUUAAGUAUUCCACCUGGGGAGUACGCCGGCAACGGUGAAACUCAAAGGAAUUGACGGGGGCCCGCACAAGCGGAGGAACAUGUGGUUUAAUUCGAUGAUACGCGAGGAACCUUACCCGGGCUUAAAUUGCAUUUGAAUAUAUUGGAAACAGUAUAGCCGUAAGGCAAAUGUGAAGGUGCUGCAUGGUUGUCGUCAGCUCGUGCCGUGAGGUGUCGGCUUAAGUGCCAUAACGAGCGCAACCCUUAUCUUUAGUUACUAACAGGUCAUGCUGAGGACUCUAGAGAGACUGCCGUCGUAAGAUGUGAGGAAGGUGGGGAUGACGUCAAAUCAGCACGGCCCUUACGUCCGGGGCUACACACGUGUUACAAUGGGGGGUACAGAAGGCAGCUACCUGGUGACAGGAUGCUAAUCCCAAAAGCCUCUCUCAGUUCGGAUCGAAGUCUGCAACCCGACUUCGUGAAGCUGGAUUCGCUAGUAAUCGCGCAUCAGCCAUGGCGCGGUGAAUACGUUCCCGGGCCUUGUACACACCGCCCGUCAAGCCAUGAAAGCCGGGGGUACCUGAAGUACGUAACCGCAAGGAGCGUCCUAGGGUAAAACUGGUAAUUGGGGC
rnacentral:rRNA from 1 species